rnacentral:lncRNA from 10 species
UUCCAAAGUAGAGUAAAAUUUCAGACUCUUCUCAGUUCUUGACGGUGUUUGGUGAUGAAGAUUGGGAUGCUAAUAGAAAUAAUGGCUUUCUGGAAGAGAGAAGACAAGGGCUCCCAUGGGCUGGGUGAAAGGAUAUGAGAACUCCCUGGGAUCUGGUAGCAAAUGUUCUUGCUCAAGUGGUGGGCAAGGGGGAAGGAAAAUUUGGCAAAUCUAAUGUAUUUGCCUUAUAAUCUCCUUUUUUUUUUUUUUUUUUUUUUGAGACAGGGUUUCCCUCUCAUGCCUCAGGAUGGAAUGCAAUGGCGUGAUCUUGGCUCACUGCAACCUCAGCCUCCCAGGUUCAAGCGAUUCUCCAGCCUCAGCCUCCCGAGUAGCUGGGAUUACAGGCAUGCGCCAUCAUGCCUGAAUAAUUUUUGUAUUUUUAGUAGUGACAGAGUUUCACCAUGUUGGCCAGGCAGGUCUUGAACUCCUGACCUCAAGUGAUCCUCCCACCCUGGCCUCCCAAACUGCUAGGAUUACAGGCAUGAGCCACCACUUCCAGCCUAAGCUCCACCUCUUAAUGGGUUCUGUUUCUUUCUAAAGAGCAAAAAAUACACGAAUACUCAAUAUUAUCAUCAUUUCUUUUUUUCUACAAUUUCUUUUAAAUAAAACCCAUUCUUCAAAAUUAUUGCUACAAAAUAACCAGAGAAACUUCAGCAACGUCAGCUCCACAUAUCUCCAUAAUGUCCCCCGUUCCUUGUCCUCUUCAAUAGACUAAUAUUACUUUGAACAGGAAAAAAAAACAACAUAUGACAAAACCAAAACCUCUUCCUUUCUUCAAACAACUCAAUGUUCAUCAUUCUUCUACUAUGAAUGUUCAUACAUCUUCUACUAUGAAAUAGUACCCUGGGCUCAUGAGAGACUCCACUAUGGUCAAGGAAUGGAAUCCAGAUUAUCUGACUGAAUCUUCCACCCAUAUAGAUGUCACUAAAUAUGUGUGUGAACUCAAAGCAAAUAACAGAGAAACACAAUAUAAAAAUGGCUUUAAUAUACCAACGUACAGAUUAUUCAGUUCCAUUGUAAUUUCCCAAAUAAUUUUAGAUUAUAAUUUUCAGAAAGGAUUUUUAACAUCUGCUAGGCUAAUUCCAUCAUAUUAGUAUAUGAAAUUAUCUUUUCUCCAGUUAUUUAUAAUCUUUCUAAAUAUUUUAAAAUACAGUAUAUUUUCACAACAAAUUUUAUUUUCCCCACAACAAAGAAUUAUCCCACUUCUCUAGUAAUUUCCAUCGUGCAAGAAUGUAGAAUAUAGACUAAUAAGCCUAAAUAGGAUCUAAAAAGGCAAGUUACCUAAAACCCUUCUUGUCUAACCAUAUUAAGGCCCAAGUUUACCUAGAGUCACAAUUGUAGUUAACAAGUGCUAUUUCUCUGGUUGUUUUUUGUUGUUGUUGUUGUUGUUUUUGUUUUUUUUUUUUGAGAUGGAGUCUCACUCUGUCACCCAGGCAGGAGUGCAGUGGCGCGAUCUCAGCUCACUGCAAGCUCCGCCUCCUGGGUUCAUGCCAUUCUCUUGCCUCAGCCUCCCGAGUAGCUGGGAGUACAGGCACCCGCCACCACGCCUGGCUAAUUUUUUGUAUUUUUAGUAGAGACAGGGUUUCACCAUGUUAGCCAGGAUGGUCUCGAUCUCCUGACCUCGUGAUCCGCCAGCCGUGGCCUCCCAAAGUGCUGGGACUACACGUGUGAGCCACCAUGCCCGGCCUUGUUUUUGUUUUUGCCAAGUUUCACCAUGUUGCCCAGGAUAUCCUCAAACUCCUGGGCUCAAGUGAUUCUCCAGCCUCAGCCUCCUGAGUAGCUGGGAAUAGAAGAGCAUGCCACUGUGUCUGGCUUCUCUGUGACUUUCUUAAUGUGCAGAAACCAAAACAGGUAAUAGUAUUUAAUAAGAAUGUCCUGGUAAUUUUUUUUAAAUCUAAAAGUAGACAAAAAGGGAAGGGAAAAAUUCAUAUGCAGAUGAAAAAUAUUCUAUUACUGUGGAUCCUUGAUUUUUUGUAUAGAUCUUAACAAUGAUUUAUGAGGUUCUCAAUGACAAUUUAAUAAAACUGCAAAAUUCAUUAAGAGCAUCACAGAAGGCCAGGCACAGUGGCUCACAUCAGAGAAAUAAGAUUAUGAAUUUACUGAGGCAUACAAAUUGGAAUCUACAUUUACCAUCUUGUACAAAUAGGAAAGUUUCUAAUAACUUAUUAACAAAAUCAUUCUGAAACCUUUACACAAAUCAGCCUGCUUUAAAUAAAAAGGUUAGAAACAUUAUGAUAACUAUGUACAAAGUAUAUAUCUGUAUACUCUAACAUUCUAAAUAAAGGUAUCUUUGAAAAUUUACUAUUAUACAGUAUUAGUACCAUACUCUAUAAUGAGCAAAGAAAGAAUAUGAGAACUCUUGGGCUCAGUACAGUGUAAAUAUGUUCAAAAUGCUAUACACAUUUUGCCUGGAAAGAUUUAAAAAAUCCCACAUAAUCACAUAAACCACUGGACUGACUUUUAAAAACUUUAAAAAAGAUAUUUAAAGAUAUGGCUCAUUAAGCAAACAUUUAGUGAUCAUAUCUCACUGCAGCCUCGAACUCCUGGGCUCAAGUGAUCCUCCUGCCUCAAUUGGCAAAUGGGCAAAAGAUAUGAACAGAUAUUUCACUGAAAAGGAUAAACAGAAUGGUUGAAAUAAGAAAUAGUGACAACACCAAAUGCUGGCGAGCAUGCAGAGAAACUGGAUCACUCAUACAUUCCUGGUGGGAAUGUAAGAUGGUAUAGCCAGUCUGGAAAACAGUUUGGCUGUUUCUUAUAAAGAUAAGAUUCAUUUAAAUGGGAGUCUCUAUAUCAUUUGUUUCCUAAACAUCACGGGUAUCUAUCUAAACACAGCCAUUUUAUAACAGAUCAAAUUUAUAGUAAAGUGGGGAAAGACAGUAGAAAUAGAAUAACAGAGAAUUUCAGAAAUAUCUGAUUUUGCAAGCACCUGUUUCUGUCCUUCCCACUCCAAGAUCAUUCCUGCAUUCCUCUAGGAACAAGGGUCCCAUGGGAAUAUGAUACAGCCAAUGACUUAGGUGCCAAUAGAUGCUGGUGCCAAAAUAUUUAUGGCUAUGAGGCUUCAAAACUUAAAAAAAAAAAAAAGAUUCCUUUUACUUGGAAAGGGGAUUUAAAAAGAAAAAACCACCAACACGAUUUUGAAUCAUCUAUUUAACUUUUUUAGAUUACCCAUUUUGACUGGUUCGAACCAGAAGACCUGGCUUUGGGUUUACAAUAAGACGAUUCUGGGACCAAGUAGGUUGUAAAGGCCCAAGGUAUGUUUGGGGCUUUCUCUCUCUCUCUCUCUCUCUCUCUUUUUUUUUUUUGAGACAGAGUCUCGCUCUCUCACCCAGGCUGGAAUGCAGUGGCCCAAUCUCGGCUCACUGCAACCUCCACGUCCCGGGUUCAAGCAAUUCUCCUGUCUCAGCCUCCCAAGUCGCUGGGACCACAGGCACAUGCCAUCAGGACUGGCUAAUUUUUGUAUUUUUAGUAGAGAUGGGGUUUCACCAUAUUGAUCAGGCUGGUCUUGAACUCCUGACCUCAGGUGAUCCACCCGCCUUGGCCUCCCAAAGUGCUGGGAUUACAGGCGUGAGCCACUACACCUGGCCUUUUUCUCUCUUUUUUUAAAUUGAGAUGGGUGGGGUCUCACUAUGUUGCCUAGGCUGGUCUCGAACUCCUGAGCUCAAGCGAUCCUCCCGCCUUGGCCUCACAAAUUGCUGGGAUUACAGGUGUGAACCACCACGCUUAUCCUGGGGCUUUUAAUUCUUACUGAAAAUCAUAGUCUAAAUUUCCCAAAGGGAUUCAGAAUCCUUUGGGGUACAUUCAAGUCUUCUAGGCCAUCUCUGGGAUGACUCUAGAAUAACUUAAAGUCAAAGAACUCCAGGGUAUAUCUACAUCUCUCCUCAAAUAAUUACAAAAUUCUUGCAAGAUUCCUGGGCUGGACUGUUUUAAAUUAAAGACUGGUCCCUUACAGGAGGGGCUAUUUAUGAAGUUCCUUCCCUAUAGCACCAGAGUGUUUCGCACUCUUAAAAUUCAAUCUGUUAGUCAUCUGCAGUCAAAUAUAUAAAACCUGUGAAGAGAAAGGCUUCAAUUAAAGCUUAAAAAGUUAAUAUAUCUAUGUGUAUUUACAGACAUGUGUCUCUACACAAAUAGUUUUUCAAAUAUAUAAACAUAUUAAGAAUUUUAUUUUAUUUUAUUAAGACAGGGCCUUGCCCUGUUGCCCAGGCUGGAGUGCAGUGGCACAAUCAUAGCUCAUAGCACCCUCAAACUCCUGUGUUCAAGCGAUUCUCCUGCUUCGGUUUCCUGAGUAGCUGGGACUACAGGGGCAUACCACCACACCUGGCUAAUUUAAAAAAAAUUUUUUUGUAGAGACAAGGUCUCACUUUGCUGCCCAAGCUGUAACUGAACUCCUGGCUUCAAGUGAUCCUCUGGCCUCAGCCUCCCAAAGUGCUGGGAUUACAGGCAUGAGCCACUGUACUUGGCCAAAAAUUUUAAAUAAACAACAUGAGGAUUCUAGCUCUCACUACAGAGUAGUUCUUCUUUUGUUUUUUUGUUUUUGUUUUUGUUUUUGUUUUUUUGAAAUGGAGUUUAACUCUUGUUGCCCAGGCUGGAGUGCAAUGGCGCGAUCUCGGCUCAACCGCAACCUCUGCCUCAGGGGUUCAAGCGGUUCUCCUGCCUCAGCCUCCUGACUAGCUGGGAUUACAGGCAUGUGCCACAACGCACAGCUAAUUUUUUUGUAGUUUUAAUAGAGAUGGGGUUUCUCCAUGUUGGUCAGGCUGGUCUCAAGCUACUAACCUCAGGUAAUCCGUCCUCCUUGGCCUCCCAAAGUGCUGGGAAGAGUAUAGUUCUUCUUAAUCCAACAAAAAAGUAUUUUACUCACAACAAAUAUAAAUUGCCCCCAUCAACAAAUGUAUGUAAUAUCAAGGAUAACGUGUACAAACAAAGUUGCACUAACAAAGUAAAAAUUUAUCCCACAUACAUGAAAGCACAGUGCUAAGUUCUGGGGAAGCAGACAGUUUCUGCUUUCAGGGAGCUUCCAGUCUGGUAGAGAUUUACACAGAAGGCAGAUUAAAGAGAAUGAUGAUCUCCUUUGUUCAGAGAUAAAAAGGAAGCAAAAAAGCAGGUCAAAUCAAAGAUGAUCUGCAGAAUACAUUAACCCUACACUGAAAUCAGCCUGUAUCAGUGGCUCUCAACUGGGGGCAAUUUUGCCUCUCAGAAUGGCAAUGUUUGAAGACAUUUUUGGCCAUAACAACUAGGGGGAUGGUACUUGUAGCUAGAGGGCAGAGGUCAGGGAUAUUGCUAAACAUCCUAUAAAGUACAGCAUAGCAUCCCAAAAUAAAGAUUUAUCCAGUCCAAAAUGUCAAUGCUGAGAUUAGGAAACCAUGCCAUGGUUGGAUAAAAAAGAUGAAAAAAUCAGUAUGUCUAUAGUAUAAAAGCAAUUAGUAGCACUUUAAGAUAGAUUGAACAGGAACAUUCUCUUCCUUUAUCAGACAGUUGCAGACCUUCUAAAAAUAUCUGAUAGAUCUAUAAUGGGAAAAUAAAACAUGCUGAGAAGUAGCACAAAUUUUUCUAAACUUCAAAUAUUAGCAUACAAAUGAAAAACAAACUUGGAAGACAGAAAGGACAAGCCAGGCAUGGUGGCUCACGCCUGUAAUCCUAGCACUUUGGGAGGCCGAGGUGGGUGGGUCACAAGGUCAGGAGUUUGAGACCAGCCUGGCCAACAUGGUAAAACCCUGUCUCUACUAAAAAUACAAAAAUCAGCUGGGCGUAGUGACGUAUACCUGAAAUCCCAGCUACUUGGGAGGCUGAGGC